GAUGAACGCUGGCGGCGUGCCUAAUACAUGCAAGUCGAGCGAACAGACGAGGAGCUUGCUCCUCUGACGUUAGCGGCGGACGGGUGAGUAACACGUGGAUAACCUACCUAUAAGACUGGGAUAACUUCGGGAAACCGGAGCUAAUACCGGAUAAUAUAUUGAACCGCAUGGUUCAAUAGUGAAAGACGGUUUUGCUGUCACUUAUAGAUGGAUCCGCGCCGCAUUAGCUAGUUGGUAAGGUAACGGCUUACCAAGGCAACGAUGCGUAGCCGACCUGAGAGGGUGAUCGGCCACACUGGAACUGAGACACGGUCCAGACUCCUACGGGAGGCAGCAGUAGGGAAUCUUCCGCAAUGGGCGAAAGCUUGACGGAGCAACGCCGCGUGAGUGAUGAAGGUCUUCGGAUCGUAAAACUCUGUUAUUAGGGAAGAACAAAUGUGUAAGUAACUAUGCACGUCUUGACGGUACCCAAUCAGAAAGCCACGGCUAACUACGUG
rnacentral:rRNA from 1 species